CCUACGGGGGGCAGCAGUGGGGAAUAUUGGACAAUGGGGGCAACCCUGAUCCAGCCAUGCCGCGUGUGUGAAGAAGGCCCUCGGGUUGUAAAGCACUUUCAGUGAGGAAGAACGCCUGGUGGUUAAUACCCAUCAGGAAAGACAUCACUCACAGAAGAAGCACCGGCUAACUCCGUGCCAGCAGCCGCGGUAAUACGGAGGGUGCGAGCGUUAAUCGGAAUUACUGGGCGUAAAGCGCGCGUAGGUGGCUUGAUAAGCUGGUUGUGAAAGCCCCGGGCUCAACCUGGGAACGGCAUCCGGAACUGUCAAGCUAGAGUGCAGGAGAGGAAGGUAGAAUUCCCGGUGUAGCGGUGAAAUGCGUAGAGAUCGGGAGGAAUACCAGUGGCGAAGGCGGCCUUCUGGACUGACACUGACACUGAGGUGCGAAAGCGUGGGUAGCAAACAGGAUUAGAUACCCCAGUAGUC
rnacentral:rRNA from 1 species